GUGAACGCUGGCGGUAGGCCUAACACCUGCAAGUCGAACGGCAGCACAGUAAGAGCUUGCUCUUCCGGGUGGCGAGUGGCGGACGGGUGAGGAAUACAUCGGAAUCUACUUUUUCGUGGGGGAUAACGUAGGGAAACUUACGCUAAUACCGCAUACGACCUACGGGUGAAAGCAGGGGAUCUUCGGACCUUGCGCGAUUGAAUGAGCCGAUGUCGGAUUAGCUAGUUGGAGGGGUAAAGGCCCACCAAGGCGACGAUCCGUAGCUGGUCUGAGAGGAUGAUCAGCCACACUGGAACUGAGACACGGUCCAGACUCCUACGGGAGGCAGCAGUGGGGAAUAUUGGACAAUGGGCGCAAGCCUGAUCCAGCCAUACCGCGUGGGUGAAGAAGGCCUUCGGGUUGUAAAGCCCUUUUGUUGGGAAAGAAAAGCAGCAGGUUAAUACCCCGCUGUUCUGACGGUACCCAAAGAAUAAGCACCGGCUAACUUCGUG
rnacentral:rRNA from 1 species